rnacentral:rRNA from 1 species
CCUACGGGCGGCAGCAGUGGGGAAUAUUGCACAAUGGGGGAAACCCUGAUGCAGCGACGCCGCGUGAGUGAAGAAGUAUUUCGGUAUGUAAAGCUCUAUCAGCAGGGAAGAAAAUGACGGUACCUGAUUAAGAAGCCCCGGCUAACUACGUGCCAGCAGCCGCGGUAAUACGUAGGGGGCAAGCGUUAUCCGGAUUUACUGGGUGUAAGGGGAGCGUAGACGGCAGCGCAAGUCUGAAGUGAAAUGCCGGGGCUUAACCCCGGAACUGCUUUUGAAACUGGGCAGCUAGAGUGCAGGAGAGGUAAGUGGAAUUCCUAGUGUAGCGGUGAAAUGCGUAGAUAUUAGGAGGAACACCAGUGGCGAAGGCGGCUUACUGGACUGUAACUGACGUUGAGGCUCGAAAGCGUGGGGAGCAAACAGGAUUAGAUACCCGAGUAGUC